rnacentral:rRNA from 1 species
CAGUCGCCACGGUAAUACGAAGGGUGCAAGCGUUAAUCGGAAUUACUGGGCGUAAAGCGUGCGUAGGCGGUGAGUUAAGUCUGCUGUGAAAUCCCCGGGCUUAACCUGGGAACUGCGCUUGUGACUGCACAGCUAGAGUAUGGCAGAGGGGGGUGGAAUUCCACGUGUAGCAGUGAAAUGCGUAGAGAUGUGGAGGAACACCGAUGGCGAAGGCAGCCCCCUGGGCCAAUACUGACGCUCAUGCACGAAAGCGUGGGGAGCAAACAGGAUUAGAUACCCCCGUAGUCCCUGUCUCUUAUCU